CCCGGCACAUCUUGGUGGAGGACGGUAGCAGUGAGUAGCCUCUGGAGGUGUUGAAUGAAUGUGUGGAGAAUGUUGUGUGAGAGUGAGGGGGUAAGGUUUCCUUAGUCGUUAACAUAUGGCUAAGUGGCUGACCACUGGUCACUGGCCCGGGGGUGUACAGGACGGCCUAUUGCCAAGCUAGAUUCAUUCAGGAGAACUACCCACCUAUUUCUGAGUGGGGACCGGGAAAGUACACAGUUUCUAUUUCCUGUGAGAGAAUAAGUUGGAAAUCCUGGGAAGUGUGUGGACGAAGACUGUGACACCCCUCUUGGCUACCUUCACCUAAGGAUCCCUGAUUCCUUCUCCCUUGGAUGGGCUGUGGGAAGGAUCCAUUGGACUCGACUCCCUUAAGCAGGGUAUCCUGGCUAGUUGAUUUUAGUUGACUUUAUUUGGGGUGGUUAGAGGCCCCCUGGUCAGAAUUUGGGGUGGUUAGAGGCCCCCCGGUUGGAAUUCAGGGUGGUUAGAGGCCCCCUGGUUGGAACUUGGGAUGGUUAGAGGUCCCCCAUUGGAAGUAGGAAACCCAGUGGAUGCACUGGAGGAAGGAGGUGCGGCCCCGGGGGAAGCCCGGCCACACCGCUCUGUUUUGGGGACCACUCACCCCUGGCUCCUUGGGUUGCUUCUAGGGUAGAAGCACUUUUGGGAGUCACCCAGAUGCUAUUACAACCUCUGCAACCAUCCCAGCCUGAAGCCCUGGACAUUGCCUACAGUCAAUACCUCUCUCCUGACAAUAGGCAAGGACAGCUCUACAACCAUUCUCAGCUCUGAAGAAGCUACAGAAAACUGAAACCAUUUCCCCUUUUCCCUUAGAUAUUUGGAGGGGGGGAGAUGACAUGGCAUUGUACCCCCAGAAAUUCGGGCAAACUAUCAUCAGUGAAAUUCCUUUGCUCCCUUACAUCCUCGUGACUCCUAGCCUAAAAUAUCUAAUGACCCGUAUAGGACCCUGAGAUGAUUGUGCUCCUUUGAUCCUCUUUUAUAUUUAAGAUGGACAAGGGAGGUGCUUCUCCAGGCUAUACCUCAAUUCUGUCGGGCUGUAUCUCACACCUGUCUGUUCUCUAAAACCAAAGAAUCUUUUAUGAGGGUCAUUACCUAUGUCCAAACCCCUGACCAAAUGCCUGAAGGUCUACUACUCUAGGUAUAGGAAGGGGAACCUCCAGCCUCACUGGAAAGGGCCCUAUGUUGUUCUUUGCUUUUAUGUUGAUCAUACAGGGCUAGUUCCAUGCAUUCUUAAUCGCCUAGUAGCCUUUGUCAAGUAUUGCAUUAAUACUGUCCAGCUCUGGUCCUUCACCAGCAAUAUCAAACCCUGACUCCUCCUGAAUCCCCUUAUGAUAAUAUGGUCACAUGAGGAAGAUUACUCAUGUAUAGCAGAAGUGGGGAAUGAGCCAGCUCCCAAACCCUUUCUUUCCCCUCCCUGACCCCUAACCCUAGGAGUUCCUGUCAUUCCCCCUCCUGACAUAUGCUAGGAGCCAUAAUGACCCUUAACCUCAGGAGUUCCUCUCACUCCCCCUCUUGACAUAUGCUAGGAACUGAUAAUACCCCAGCCCUAGGAAUUCCUGUGAACUCCCCCCUACCACAAAAGUGUAUAAAAAGCCUGCAAGACCCAGACUCAGGGCUGUAACCAUUUUUAGAUGAGCCCAAGCUGCAGUUUGUUUAAUAAACUCCUUCCUGUGUGUUA